rnacentral:tRNA from 1 species
GGAGAGCUGGCCGAGUGGCCGAAGGCGCCUGACUCGAAAUCAGGUGUACGGGUAACCGUACCGUGGGUUCGACUCCCACGCUCUCCG